rnacentral:rRNA from 1 species
UGGGGAAUAUUGCACAAUGGGCGCAAGCCUGAUGCAGCCAUGCCGCGUGUGUGAAGAAGGCCUUCGGGUUGUAAAGCACUUUCAGCGGGGAGGAAGGCGGUGAGGUUAAUAACCUCAUCGAUUGACGUUGCCCGCAGAAGAAGCACCGGCUAACUCCGUGCCAGCAGCCGCGGUAAUACGGAGGGUGCAAGCGUUAAUCGGAAUUACUGGGCGUAAAGCGCACGCAGGCGGUCUGUCAAGUCGGAUGUGGAAAUCCCGGGGCUCAGCCUGGGAACUGCAUUCGAAACUGGCAGGCUAGAGUCUUGUAGAGGGGGGUAGAAUUCCAGGUGUAGCGGUGAAAUGCGUAGAGAUCUGGAGGAAUACCGGUGGCGAAGGCGGCCCCCUGGACAAAGACUGACGCUCAGGUGCGAAAGCGUGGGGAGCAAACAGGAUUGGAUACCCUGGUAGUCCACGCUGUAAACGAUGUCGAUUUGGAGGUUGUGCCCUUGAGGCGUGGCUUCCGGAGCUAACGCGUUAAAUCGACCGCCUGGGGAGUACGGUCGCAAGGUUA